AACGCACAUUGCGCCCAUUGGUAUUCCGAUGGGCACGUCUGUUUGAGCGUCAUUACAAUCCUUCGGUCAGAGUUUGCAAGAACUCCUGACCGGUUGUGAGCCUUCGACCCUAACCGGUUGGGCUUUAAAUUGGCACGCUCUGCGGGUCACUAAACCUGAACGAACAUAGUAGAAUCCAUUCAACCUGUUCAAUUAAGGGAAGGUGAGCUCCGCCUGAACAAGAACCUAAAUUUUCUAAGGUUUGACCUCAGAUCAGACGAGGAUACCCGCUGAACUUAA
rnacentral:misc_RNA from 1 species